rnacentral:rRNA from 1 species
GACGAACGCUGGCGGCGUGCUUAACACAUGCAAGUCGAACGAAGUGGCGAACGGGUGAGUAACGCGUAAUAAACCUGCCCUUCAGAGGGGGACAACAGUUGGAAACGACUGCUAAUACCGCAUACUAUCAGAUGAGCCUAGGUCGGCUUAGCUAGUUGGGGGGGUAAAGGCCCACCAAGGCGAUGAUCAGGAGACGGUCUGAGCGGAUGAGCGGCGCCAUGUGGACUGAGACACGGCCAAGACUCCUCCGGGAGGCAGCAGUGGGGAAUGUUCCGCAAUGGACGAAAGUCUGACGGAGCAACGCCGCGUGAGUGAUGACGGCCUUCGGGUUGUAAAGCUCUGUUAAUCGGGACGCGGUACCGGAAUAGAAAGCCACGGCUAACUACGUGCCAGCAGCCGCGGUAAUAC